UCUGAAAUAGCUCAGUUGGUAGAGCGUCAAAUAAAUCGAGAGGUCCUCGGUUCGAUCCCGGGUUCCGACA
rnacentral:tRNA from 1 species